rnacentral:rRNA from 1 species
GGGUUGUGAGGUUAAGCGACUAAGCGUACACGGUGGAUGCCCUGGCAGUCAGAGGCGAUGAAGGGCGUACUAAUCUGCGAUAAGCGCCGGUAAGGUGAUAUGAACCGUUAUAACCGGCGAUACCCGAAUGGGGAAACCCAGUGUGAUUCGUCACACUAUCAUUAACUGAAUCCAUAGGUUAAUGAGGCGAACCGGGGGAACUGAAACAUCUAAGUACCCCGAGGAAAAGAAAUCAACCGAGAUUCCCCCAGUAGCGGCGAGCGAACGGGGAGGAGCCCAGAGCCUGAAUCAGCAUGUGUGUUAGUGGAAGCGUCUGGAAAGGCGCGCGAUACAGGGUGACAGCCCCGUACACAAAAGCGCAUGUGCUGUGAGCUCGAUGAGUAGGGCGGGACACGUGGUAUCCUGUCUGAAUAUGGGGGGACCAUCCUCCAAGGCUAAAUACUCCUGACUGACCGAUAGUGAACCAGUACCGUGAGGGAAAGGCGAAAAGAACCCCGGCGAGGGGAGUGAAAAAGAACCUGAAACCGUGUACGUACAAGCAGUGGGAGCACNGGUUUACCUGUGUGACUGCGUACCUUUUGUAUAAUGGGUCAGCGACUUAUAUUCUGUAGCAAGGUUAACCGAAUAGGGGAGCCGGAGGGAAACCGAGUCUUAAUUGGGCGUUAAGUUGCAGGGUAUAGACCCGAAACCCGGUGAUCUAGCCAUGGGCAGGUUGAAGGUUGGGUAACACUAACUGGAGGACCGAACCGACUAAUGUUGAAAAAUUAGCGGAUGACCUGUGGCUGGGGGUGAAAGGCCAAUCAAACCGGGAGAUAGCUGGUUCUCCCCGAAAGCUAUUUAGGUAGCGCCUCGUGAAUUCAUCUCCGGGGGUAGAGCACUGUUUCGGCUAGGGGGCCAUCCCGGCUUACCAACCCGAUGCAAACUGCGAAUACCGGAGAAUGUUAUCACGGGAGACACACGGCGGGUGCUAACGUCCGUCGUGAAGAGGGAAACAACCCAGACCGCCAGCUAAGGUCCCAAAGUCAUGGUUAAGUGGGAAACGAUGUGGGAAGGCCCAGACAGCCAGGAUGUUGGCUUAGAAGCAGCCAUCAUUUAAAGAAAGCGUAAUAGCUCACUGGUCGAGUCGGCCUGCGCGGAAGAUGUAACGGGGCUAAACCAUGCACCGAAGCUGCGGCAGCGACACUGUGUGUUGUUGGGUAGGGGAGCGUUCUGUAAGCCUGCGAAGGUGGCCUGUGAGGGUUGCUGGAGGUAUCAGAAGUGCGAAUGCUGACAUAAGUAACGAUAAAGCGGGUGAAAAGCCCGCUCGCCGGAAGACCAAGGGUUCCUGUCCAACGUUAAUCGGGGCAGGGUGAGUCGACCCCUAAGGCGAGGCCGAAAGGCGUAGUCGAUGGGAAACGGGUUAAUAUUCCCGUACUUGGUGUUACUGCGAAGGGGGGACGGAGAAGGCUAUGUUGGCCGGGCGACGGUUGUCCCGGUUUAAGCGUGUAGGUGUGUGUUCCAGGUAAAUCCGGUUCACUUUAACACUGAGGCGUGACGACGAGGCACUACGGUGCUGAAGCAACAAAUGCCCUGCUUCCAGGAAAAGCCUCUAAGCAUCAGGUAACAUCAAAUCGUACCCCAAACCGACACAGGUGGUCAGGUAGAGAAUACCAAGGCGCUUGAGAGAACUCGGGUGAAGGAACUAGGCAAAAUGGUGCCGUAACUUCGGGAGAAGGCACGCUGACACGUAGGUGAAGUGAUUUACUCAUGGAGCUGAAGUCAGUCGAAGAUACCAGCUGGCUGCAACUGUUUAUUAAAAACACAGCACUGUGCAAACACGAAAGUGGACGUAUACGGUGUGACGCCUGCCCGGUGCCGGAAGGUUAAUUGAUGGGGUCAGCGCAAGCGAAGCUCCUGAUCGAAGCCCCGGUAAACGGCGGCCGUAACUAUAACGGUCCUAAGGUAGCGAAAUUCCUUGUCGGGUAAGUUCCGACCUGCACGAAUGGCGUAAUGAUGGCCAGGCUGUCUCCACCCGAGACUCAGUGAAAUUGAACUCGCUGUGAAGAUGCAGUGUACCCGCGGCAAGACGGAAAGACCCCGUGAACCUUUACUAUAGCUUGACACUGAACAUUGAGCCUUGAUGUGUAGGAUAGGUGGGAGGCUUUGAAGUGUGGACGCCAGUCUGCAUGGAGCCGACCUUGAAAUACCACCCUUUAAUGUUUGAUGUUCUAACGUGGACCCGUUACCCGGGUUGCGGACAGUGUCUGGUGGGUAGUUUGACUGGGGCGGUCUCCUCCUAAAGAGUAACGGAGGAGCACGAAGGUUGGCUAAUCCUGGUCGGACAUCAGGAGGUUAGUGCAAUGGCAUAAGCCAGCUUGACUGCGAGCGUGACGGCGCGAGCAGGUGCGAAAGCAGGUCAUAGUGAUCCGGUGGUUCUGAAUGGAAGGGCCAUCGCUCAACGGAUAAAAGGUACUCCGGGGAUAACAGGCUGAUACCGCCCAAGAGUUCAUAUCGACGGCGGUGUUUGGCACCUCGAUGUCGGCUCAUCACAUCCUGGGGCUGAAGUAGGUCCCAAGGGUAUGGCUGUUCGCCAUUUAAAGUGGUACGCGAGCUGGGUUUAGAACGUCGUGAGACAGUUCGGUCCCUAUCUGCCGUGGGCGCUGGAGAACUGAGGGGGGCUGCUCCUAGUACGAGAGGACCGGAGUGGACGCAUCACUGGUGUUCGGGUUGUCAUGCCAAUGGCACUGCCCGGUAGCUAAAUGCGGAAGAGAUAAGUGCUGAAAGCAUCUAAGCACGAAACUUGCCCCGAGAUGAGUUCUCCCUGAGACUUAAAGUCUCCUGAAGGAACGUUGAAGACGACGACGUUGAUAGGCCGGGUGUGUAAGCGCAGCGAUGCGUUGAGCUAACCGGUACUAAUGAACCGUGAGGCUUAACCUUACAACGCCGAAG